GACAGAGGGGGCAAGCGUUGCUCGGAAUUACUGGGCGUAAAGGGCGCGUAGGCGGGAUGGCAAGUCGGUCGUGAAAUCCCUCGGCUCAACCGAGGAACGUCGAUCGAUACUGCUGUUCUUGAGGAUUGCAGAGGAGACUGGAAUUCCCGGUGUAGCGGUGAAAUGUGUAGAUAUCGGGAGGAACACCAGUGGCGAAGGCGGCUUUCUGGGCCUAUCCUGACGCUGAGGAGCGAAAGCGUGGGGAGCAAACCGGG
rnacentral:rRNA from 1 species